GAGAGUGAGGUGGAGUUGUUGGAACUAGCAGGUUGUUAUGUGAGAAGGAGGAGUCAGUGUUGUGUGGUGCUUGUCGUGGGAUUGCAACAGAGAAAAGUUGCUGUUAUAGACUUUGAAUACUCAAAUGGCACUGAUCUUCCUUCACCUUGGCCCCUCAGAGAGACCUGUUUGUGAAUAGGACUUCUGCCUGAAGUGACUAGUGAGCUGUGCCGAGGCUUUGAGGUAUCAUAUAUCUUCUGGUGUUGUGGAAGGUACAGAACUGUUAGGACAAUUUCAUUUUACCAAACGGUGAGCUGAAAGAUGGUGAAAGGAACAUGAACCCCCUGUCAACCCACCCUACGCUGUGGGUAAUUAAUCUGGGAGUUGUGGUGCAGAAAGGUAAUUUUCCCAGUGAAAAACGUAGAAGCAGCAGCCUGCGGCAGCCAUCUUGGCCUUUACGAGAGUCCUGUGCAGAAGAGCAACUUGUUACGCUUUGAUAAAGGCUCUCCGUUCUCUUGGGAAAGGUGCAUACCAGAGAAAUUACUACUGCCAUAAACACCUCGUGUGCAUGUUUUUCCUUUGCCUCCCAGAAUGCUGGGAGGCAGCGUGUCUGAGUGAAUGCCUGGUAGAAACUCUGCUCUAACAAACA